rnacentral:sRNA from 1 species
UUACGUUGUUGAUGUCUACGGGCUCCUGA